AUGUACCCACGUACAUUCCGGUUCCUCCGCGCCGUCCGCACCCACCUGACGACUGCUCGCUACGUUUUGUUAGGC
rnacentral:sRNA from 1 species